AGGGGAAGGUAUUAGCACCCCCUCACGUCCGUCGUACUCGACGGGAUCCACGUUCAGAAGAAUAGAAUAAGGUUGCUAAAUAACUGCUUAAAAGCAUGCACACACGCUGGAAUAAAACACAGAUGGAAGAAGAGGGGGGAACGGGCUCGCUAGGAUAUCGCAUCCUAUGCCUACGUAUCUCAUCUGGAAUGAGAAUCAGAGCUACCGUAGUUCGGCUAACGCACGCCG
rnacentral:lncRNA from 1 species